UUAACUUAAAUUUGUAUGGAGUUGGAACGUUUGCCUACGUUUGCCGCUAGGGGUGCUGUUCCAAUGCAUACAAAGUUGAGUUA
rfam:Bombyx mori DNA, contig: Bm_scaf47_contig25418, strain: p50T/Dazao, build 2, whole genome shotgun sequence.